GGAAAGGUGGCUGAAAGAUUAGGUGUUACAUUGUAAAUGUAAUUAUGAGAAUUCUCUCUUUUUCCG
rnacentral:tRNA from 1 species